rnacentral:lncRNA from 1 species
AUUGACCACAUUGCUGGAGAUGAGGAUCAUACAGACGGAGUAGUAGCUUGUGCUGCUGGACUAAUAGGGGACUUAUAUACAGCAUUUGGGAAGGAUGUACUGAAACUAGUAGAAGCUAGGCCACUGAUCCAUGAAUUGUUAACUGAACGGCGGAGAUCGAAGACGAACAAAGCAAAAACCCUUGCUACACGGGCAACAAAAGAAUUCAAGAAACUGAAGGACCAAGCU